CGGGCGAGUAAUACAUCGGAACGUGUCUUCUAGUGGGGGAUAACUGCCCGAAAGGGCAGCUAAUACCGCAUGAGACCUGAGGGUGAAAGCGGGGGAUCGCAAGACCUCGCGCUGGAAGAGCGGCCGAUGUCCGAUUAGCUAGUUGGUGAGGUAAAGGCUCACCAAGGCGACGAUCGGUAGCUGGUCUGAGAGGACGACCAGCCACACUGGGACUGAGACACGGCCCAG
rnacentral:rRNA from 1 species